rnacentral:rRNA from 1 species
GUGGGGAAUAUUGGACAAUGGGCGCAAGCCUGAUCCAGCCAUGCCGCGUGAGUGAUGAAGGCCUUAGGGUUGUAAAGCUCUUUCAGUGGGGACGAUAAUGACGGUACCCACAGAAGAAGCCCCGGCUAACUUCGUGCCAGCAGCCGCGGUAAUACGAAGGGGGCUAGCGUUGUUCGGAUUUACUGGGCGUAAAGCGCACGUAGGCGGAUCGUUAAGUCGGGGGUGAAAUCCUGGAGCUCAACUACAGAACUGCCUUCGAUACUGGCGAUCUUGAGUCCGGAAGAGGUGAGUGGAACUCCUAGUGUAGAGGUGGAAUUCGUAGAUAUUAGGAAGAACACCAGUGGCGAAGGCAGCUCACUGGUCCGGUACUGACGCUGAGGUGCGAAAGCGUGGGGAGCAAACAGGAUUAGAUACCCCAGUAGUCC